GAAUGGUCAUUAUGAGUCAAGGGAAUGGUCAUUAUGAGUCAAGGGAAUGGUCAUUAUGAGUCAAGGGAAUGGUCAUUAUGAGUCAAGGGAAUGGUCAUUAUGAGUCAAGGGAAUGGUCAUUAUGAGUCAAGGGAAUGGUCAUUAUGAGUCAAGGGAAUGGUCAUUAUGAGUCAAGGGAAUGGUCAUUAUGAGUCAAGGGAAUGGUCAUUAUGAGUCAAGGGAAUGGUCAUUAUAGUCAAGGGAAUGGUCAUUAUGAGUCAAGGGAAUGGUCAUUAUGAGUCAAGGGAAUGGUCAUUAUGAUACUCAUGAAAUAGUUAGUAACUAGGUAUAUCUGGGAGCAUAGGCCUUUUCUGAGAUAGCAGUGUGCAUUGUGGUCUAGAUUCGGUACAAACAUCUUUUGUUCAUGCGACAAAAUAUGGCGUUGUUUGUACUGAAGCUAGACCACAAUGCACUAUGAUUUUAUAUUUCAGAAAAGGUCCAUGGAACGAGCGAGAGAAGAUUAUGGCCUGGGUUCACGAGGAUAAUUCGGAGUCAGUUAGAAACACAGUCAACCCAUUAACGUUCUCUAGUUGUAAAGACAAAGACAAUAACAAAGUCAUUUGCAUAAAAACAUUUUUGACUUCCCAGGAAGAAUUUCAAUUUUAAACAUUAGAAAUAUAGCGCAUUAAAUGUUAUUGACAUUGAAAAGAUUUUUUUUUAAUUUUAAUAUAUGGAAAAACUUUGCUGUUGUCUUUAAAUCUUUACAGGAGAACAACGUUAACAGGAUUGAUGGAAUCAUGAUUGUUAAAUGAAACCUGACUGCUAUUAUAGGAUAUGAUAUCGUCACAUCUAUCUCGGAGCACUCCAAAUACUCCAUAACGCCGUAUGCAAGCAGUCGUUCUGUCGUGAUUCCAUCGGUUUCUUUGUAUUUGAAUCCCUUUUAAUGAAUCACACUCGUUUUUGAUCUAAUACUUAAUAUAUUCUUGUAAUAUACAACACGUUCAUCCUCUAAACAUGCACAUUGCAACCAGGCAUCAGAUAUGUUCAUAUUGUACAGGUUGUUAUCUUGACUAUAGUACAGCCAUGAUCCAUGCAGCCUGUUAUCUGUAUUGUAUUCCAGGGUACAGGUUGUGAUCUUGACUAUAGUACAGCCAUGAUCCAUGC